GUGCUUGGUUCCACAGCACAUAUACUAAAAUUGGAAUGAUAUAGACAAGAUUAGCAUGGCCCCUGCACAAGGAUGAAAAAAAUUAUAUAUAUACAUAUGAUGUACCU